rnacentral:rRNA from 1 species
GCGAACGGGUGAGUAAUACAUAGGAACGUAUCUAAAGGUGGGGAACAACCAUGGGAAACCGUGGCUAAUACCGCAUGUCCUCGCAAGAGAAAAGGUGGCCUCUACUUGUAAGCUACCGCCUUCAGAGCGGCCUAUGUCCCAUUAGCUUGUUGGUGAGGUAAAGGCUCACCAAGGCUACGAUGGGUAGCUGGUCUGAGAGGAUGAUCAGCCACACUGGGACUGAGACACGGCCCAGACUCC